GCAAGUAUAGUUUAAUGGUAAAAUAAUAGCCUUCCAAGCUACUGUUACGGGUUCAAUUCCCGUUACUUGCU
rnacentral:tRNA from 1 species